GGAACCAAUUGAGAGACAGUGGGUAGGACAAGGGAUAGUUUUCACUGCGGCCGCGGACUCUCUCUGGAACUGGCAGUUUGGAUUGCAGGCUUUAAGCUGUCCUUGUUUUGAGGAUUGGGUUUCCUGACUCUCCUUGCCUACGAGUUUGUCUUCUGUCACUAUCACAGGCAUUCAUGAUCUCUUAGGAAACCUUUCCUAUCAGGAGUCAUCAAAGUGGUUGCUCUAUAUACAUUAUAUCUUAGUUCUUGUGACAGUGGUGAUGGUUGAUUGAACAGAAUGGACACCUGAAUGAAGCCCAGCCACUUGAUUGGAUUCCCAGAAUAUCACACUAUAAGCAUUGGACAACCUAGAGAUUUUGUGAAAAUUGAACACUC
rnacentral:lncRNA from 1 species